rnacentral:rRNA from 1 species
UAGUCUGCAACCCGACUACACGAAGCUGGAAUCGCUAGUAAUCGCGAAUCAGAAUGUCGCGGUGAAUACGUUCCCGGGUCUUGUACACACCGCCCGUCACACCAUGGGAGUCGGGAAUGCCCGAAGUCAGUGACCCAACCUUUGGAGGGAGCUGCCGAAGGCAGGUCUGAUAACUGGGGUGAAGUCGUAACAAGGUAGC